AGGCUCACUGAAGGGAGUGUGGAUUGAUCAAAAAUAAUGCUCUCCAGGUCUGUUUUUCCCUAUCUUCAUAACAAGAAUAAGACUUUCCCAACAGUGUGAGCAUGGAUGGUAAAACUCAUGAUCAGGUGAAAUAUUUGAGUGCCUCAGAGAGAAAGUGAUGGUGACGUGUGCUGUAUUUCCAUUUUCAUGAUCUACUCGCUACUUAUAACAUAGGAGUUGAAAAUUGUCACUGGAAGAUUAUUUCUGAACUUGAUCAACUAAAGGGUUAAGAUCCUCUCCUGACAUUCAAGAAGAAGGUGGUCCUGUUGCUUGCUUAUAGGCUGCGAGAUGUGGAUGUUUCUCUUCUAGCAAGUAAAAACCCGUCCUUCACUUCCAUGGAGCUGAACGAACAAAGAUCUCUCUACUUCCUGUUUCAAUCAUCUCACCUAACAUUUGAUUCACCAGGUGACUUCUCCUACAGAAGUACCCCACCAUUCUAUCAAAAUUCAAAAGCGGAGUAACAGAAAUUAGCAUUUGUUUCCCUGAAGAAGUGUCUUCUGUGCCAGCUCUUCAUCCAGCUUUCUGCAUUCUGUUUUAAAAUUAUCAGAUGCAAGUGGAAGCUGGUGUUCUUCACUGAUAUCUCCUUCUUCAUUUUAGGAAGGUUAAGUACUUCACUGUGUCAUAUUGGAAUUCCUAGCAGAUAAAGUGUCUGCAUGCAUUGCUAUGUCAAACUGUCUUGGCAUGUAAGAAAAGUUGCAGCAGGAAAACCAGAACACAUGUUCUGCUCUGACAUGAGGAAGAAACUUACCAAACAGUGGGGGACAUACCAUACAGGUAUUUUCUAGUCCAGGACCCCCGGCUUGACUUUGUAGAUAGAUGUCUUGAUGUCAACUCACGUAAAGCAGCUAAUGCACAGGAACAAAUGCAGAAUCACCUUGUCUAUAGUGUGUAAAUGCAUCAUCCCAGUCUGUGAUCAAAAUGUAUAUUUGCAUGUGUAAACCUAUGUAAGUGCUGGAUCUGAAGAGCUUUCACCAGAAGGAGAAAUUACUCUGCACCAUUUCAUUUUUAGCAAAGAAAAAUGAAGCUUUAAAGGCCUCUGGGGUAACAGGAUAAUGAUUAGGUUUACAUUAAAUCAUUCCCUCCCUCUGGCUUUUUAUGAAUCCUUAGCAGCAAAAGGAACAAAAGCAUUCUACAGUAGAAGAAAUGGGGCAGAACUUCUUUCUUUAAUAAAGAAAUCAACUUCUGGUGGGAUGGAAGAGACCAGAGGUGUAAAGUUGCAGUUUAUCCGCUCAGCUUCCUUGGCACAGUUUCAGCUUUUCAUACUGCUGAUGGAAUCAGCUUUUUGAUUCUUCUGUGACUGAGAACUGAGAUGACCUAUAUGUUUCCAUCAUCUGGGUAGAAAUAGGCCCAAAAGAAUGGACUGUUUGCCACGUAAGAGGGGUGAGUUGAGAGAGAGCAGAAAUACUUAGGACGGGCCUUUUUCUGGUUCCUCUUAUUCCUUCCCAAACUAAGGCGCAAUCUGUUGUUCUUAUGUUUACACAAGAUUCUUUGUCUCCUAAUCAUCUGUGAUUAUAUAGGAUGUUUUCUGUCAUUCUGAGAUGGGAGCAUAUAUUGUUUACAUGCUCCCUGCUAUGGUAUUGUAUAUGGCAAGUAAGAUUUCUUGGCAAAAAAACCCCAGAACUGGGAUAUGUAUUCUGUUCCACUUCAAAUCUGGAGCUCUUCUUAGUGCACCUUAUUCCAAGCUUGUGAUUUAGAAAAUGUGACUUACUAGCUUAAAAUAAUAUUUUCAAAUCUGGAUCAAAUAAAGGUAUAUAGGUUCUGUUAAUAGGUUUUGGGAGAUAAUAGCAUGGUUGAGGGGGGGGUGUUUUAGAUUUCUUGUUUUGUUCUGUUUUUCCUUUUAGAUAACUGCUGGAGAGAGCCAGACAGCCUGAAAAUGGCUGAAAAGGCCAACGAUUGAAAUCCUUCUUAAAUCUUAGUGAUAGAUUGCAAGGGCAGCAUUCUGAUAUUUAAAAUGUGGUGACAUUUUAUGGGACCAAGUUCCAUAGCAGAGUAAGGACAAGUGUUGAUGUUGAUCCUAAUUUUCAGAGUAGAGUUGAGUUAAGUCUGUGUUUAGGCUUGCAUUGUAAUGGCAGCUUUACCCAUUUUUUGUUUCCACGAAGAAAAGAUCAGACACGUAAGCUAAAGAGUGGUGGGCAAGACACUGCGUAUCAAAAUAAUGCUAACUGUAAUGAGCACAGAGGUGCACUAAAAUUGUGUGUAACAUUGUGAUGAGCUGUGUGAUAAGAGUUACAUUGAUCUUGAUGAGGCAACCACCAGUUUGGCGUGACUUCUUUUAAGAACAUAGGAUUUCUUUGCUGAAUAUGGUCUGAAUUUUCUGGCAUUGGAGGCAACUAGAAAAGCACACUUCCUUUUAGGGCCUCCCUAUGUUGAAACCAACAGGAUUUAAUGUAGAUGUCUGUAGAAGCAGGAUCCAUCUCUGAGUGAUGGAAAAUACUGUCAAUAUCAUAGGAUUAUAAGUCGUUGGGAGGUAUCUGGUAUCAGAAACAUCUGAUUUUAGAUCUGGGAAUUUCCUUUUCUUCCUUCUGCCCAUACUUAUCCUUCUGAUGUUAGAGCUAGCGGUUGGUUUUUGCGUAGCUUGAUGACAAAAUAUUUGGGGGACAGGAAGGUAUUUUUCUUUUCUGUGGACAUGUACAAAAACUAAGAAUUUGUCUGACUAGAACAUAGACACUUUAAGCUGUUUGAUUUCUUUUUCCAUAGGAAUAACCCUCAACAUUUUGUAACCCUGCAUUGUAACAAAAAAAUAGAACUGCUGAUUUUUCCUGACUCCUAUCCAUGACAAUGUAACAACAUUAGUUUUCAACUUGAAUUUUAGAACAUAAUAUUUUUAGCAGGGCUAAGGAUCUGUGGCUUUCACAGAAGUACUACUACAAUAGUGCAUGCCCAGAAGACCCCCAUUGCUGUACCUUUCCGGCCAGCACCUUUAUAAAACUGCUGUGUUAGGAAAUGCUGCCUCAGCCUACUUACUUUUUCUUGCUCCACUUUUUCUCUACAUUGGUUGGAAAUCUUCCCAUGUGAAAGAUUACAGAAACAAGGGGCAUGUGCAAUAGAUCAUAUAUAUAUACAUAUAUAUAUUUUAAUACUUGUGGACAAAAUGAUGUUACAAGUUGUUUGAAAACAACAAAAUCACCAAUGUCUUCCAUUUUGAGAUGUGUAUAGUUCCAUAAGCAUUAGUGCUUUGUAGCAAACUGUAGUGCCAUGUUAGGAUCAGUGCAUGAGCCUAGUAGUAUUUUUACAAUUUCAGAGUGACAAAUUUAUUAAUAAACAGUGAUGAUAAUGUAAUUAACAAUAGAAAGGAUACAAUAGGAAUGUCACAAACAUGGUCUAAACAUGCAGUAUCCUCCCUUUGACAACGGCAACGCUAUCUUUAGAAAUGGAAUGCAUUCACUUAAUGGGCUUCAUAGAAUCAUAGUUGACUUUUUGCUUUUAGUCUAUCUGUCCAACUUGCAAUAGUAAGUUAGUCUGUGUAAGCAUCCAGAACUCUUGUCUUUAUCAGUGAGAUUCUUUUCUUUUUAGUCUUUGUCAAAAGUGUUUUCUUCCACGUGCAGCAUUUCGAAUUUUAUUAUUACCCAUCCUGUGAUAUGCUCAGAAAAGUAUGAAUAUGCUAAGGAGUUUGUGUGCAUUUUGUACACAUCUCUGCUACCUUAAGAUGAUUUACAAAAUCUGUUAAUUAAUUUUUUUUUUCAGAUCUGACUAUAUAAUUGUUAUAACUAGUUAAACAUUAUCCUCAUUGUAUAAUAAGUUAAUGGUUGCAAAAUGCUAUCUGCUAAUUAUGCGUAGCAGACUUUUAUCCAUUAUUGCAGGAAUGGGGAACCUUUCUUGGCUGAAGUCCUAUUGAAUCUUUUAACACCUUUGGUGGAUCCUGCAUUUACAUACAUUUUAAUGUUAAUAUUAAUAAGAGAGAAUAUAAUGUCAAGGGCUGUUGAAAAACAACAUUGCAGACUGUAUCUGUGCAGCAGGCUAUCUCUAGCCUAUGGAUCAGAGAUUCCCCACCCCUGUAUUAUUGAGAAUUCAAUAUCCUGUAUUUUAGGUAAGUUCCAGUAUUGCUUUCCAGCUCUAAGCUCAAUUUUAAUAAUUUCUGUCUCUCCCUCUGCUUUUUUCAGAAGGAAAGUUUAGACCAGGGGAAGUCCAAAUGAUUUAGCACUCAAUGGGCAGCUUGGACUGGUCAUAUGAGAGACUGGUAUGAUUCCCGAGAUGUGCAAUGCUCUCUGGAUGGCAUCCUCUGAUUUCCUAGGAAAAAGUCUUUUAUUAGGUGCCAGUGUUGCUCUUCACCCAUUUCUCUCUUUUACAAGAACAAAAUUCUCUUUCAACUUAGAGAGGAUACUGCAUCUUUUUUUCCUGAGACCUGCCUGUAAAUGGCCAUUAGGGGGAGGGAGGGAAUGGGUAGCUUGGUUUUGUAAUUUUGGUAUGAUAUAUCUCUGAAGUAAUUAAUCAAGAAGCAUGUACUUUGGUGCAAAACCAGUAAUCCGUGCAGAAUUAAUGUAUGUAACAGGGAAAAAAAGAAAAAAAAAUGAACAACCAACCCUCUGCAUCUAAUACAUUUCCAAGAAAAUUGGACAGGUGGGCCAUUUACAGCAGAGCUCUGGGGGACCUGUGCUGAGAGUUAGGUUCAAUUCUAAAUGGAAGUAGCUGUACCAUUGAAUAAAGUAGAUUAGUGCUUGGGAGAAUCAAUUGAAAAAUACCUCUGAAACUGGAAUGCAAAAUAGCACAGUAUGUAGGGGGAAGAAUCCCUGAUGCAAACAAAGCCAUAAGAUGAUUUAAUAAGAAAAUAGAACUUUAGUAGCAAUAACUGUUUUGCAUGUGAUAGUAAAUAACUUGCAUUAGCAAGACUGUACAGUAGAGUAAGUGGGUAAUAACCAAAUAAGUUUGUGGCGCUCUGUGCUGCAGGGAGUUGCGUGAAGAGUCUCUUCCUGAGAAGAUGGGUGAAUUUCUCUUAUGUUCCUCUCAUUGGAGAGAAUUUGGCACUUGAAUACUUAGUUAAUGAACCUGAUAUUAAAAAAAAAAAAAUUAGCUUUGUCACAUGUCUGAAGCACUGUCAGUGAGUGUUGGGGGAAGGGCAGACAGUUCUUUUUGAGAGGAUAGCUGAAGUUUCCCUAUAUUUUUUUCUUUUUUGAAGUCUAGCACUUGCUCUGUUUCUCUGAGAAGAAACUAAACCCUGGCCUGUGAAGAGAACCUGAUUCUGAAGUUAGAAGCUUUUAUUGUGGGAAAUAGCUUUUGUUUUCUUUGUUUAAAAAGACCAAUCUGAGAUGGUCUAAAAAUAAAAAAUCAGAGAACACUUGACACUCAAAACAUUUGUACAUCCCAAGCACAACUGUAGAAUUCUAAAAACGUUACUUUACAGCAAAAAAUAAUUUUAGCCUUGCUAAACACUGUUUCAGACCAUAAUUGAUUUCUGUUGAUGCCUGAAGUUUUGCAGAGGCAAAUACUGUGAAGCUUUUGGUAGCACAAAGGGUUAUUGAUCUACAAGCUGCAGCCUCUGCACCCAGCAAAGUAUUUGCUAUCAAAGGGUUACAUAAAAGAGCUGCAGGAGUUCUAAAAUGUCCAUAGUUGACACUGUUUUCAGUGCAGAUAUGUAGUCUAUAGAGACAAUAUGGCCCAACAGAUAAUACUGUAUUCUGAACAGAACUAUUACAUCAGAGGUUUAGAUCUAUCUGGCUGGAUUUCUUCUAGAAAGCUGAAGUAAUUUGGACUGUAACGUACAGCUGAAGGGAGGCUUCUAAUGUUCCGAAAUGACGGAGGUGAAACCCUUUGGCUCUUUGUAAGUUGAUAAUGGGACUGUGAGAGCUAUGAGCAUUUUUACAGUAUAAAGUAACCAAGAUAAGCAUAAAGAUGUCUAAAUUAAGUGUUGGCUAAUAUGUAAUACGUGUAUGAAAAGCUAAUUGAUCUGGAAGGUUGUAAUCAGCUUAAAUUCCAGCUAUUGAAUUAUUGAUAAAAUUGGAAGCUGGCCAUAGGGGACCUUAAUUUGAUUGUUAUCUGAUUACAUUAGAGAAACUAUAAAUUUAUUCUGGUCUGUGGUCAGCAAGUACAUUUGCAUAAUGAUGAAAUAAUAAUGAAAAUACAGUCAUGUUCAUACUUCUGAAGUAUGAACUUUGUGGCUGAAUAGAAUUCUUCAAGGGUUUAUUCAUUCAGAGAAGGGGGGGGGAAGUCAAGACUGAUGUAGCCAGGCAAGCUAUCUGCAUAUUCUUCCCAGUUCAGACUUUUUAUAAUUAUCUGUAUUCUAUGGGCUACCAGACUAGAAGUUACUAUUCACAGCAACAAAAGGAAUCCCUUUGCCUUUCAGCUCUUGCACUAUGGCAUGGCUUUAGCUCCAACCCCCUUGAUUUCACUGCUUCUAAAACUAAGUGGAAGUGUUAGAUGCUACCACAUUUCAGCGUGGGAUAUCAAAGGUGUAGUGACCAGUACCGACAUGCCUCCUUUAGCAGUACUAAACCCAGAUGAUACAAGUAUAUGCUGUUUCCAUACCCAGUAGGGCUGCUGCAGAAGGUCUAGCCAGUACUUGUGUUGGGAAUUGCACCUUCAGGAAUUGCACCUUCUGCAACUGAGGAUAAUUGUCAAAUUUAGGACAAAAAAGAAAGUCUUGCAAAGACUCCUUGAAUAGUGAGUGAGAAGUUGUACCAAGCUUCAGGACACUGACACUUUACGCAAGGAUUACAUUGUCAAGAGCUGGCAGUGUGGUUUUUUGGGCAGAGAAGGGAAUAAUGUGGAAAAGAAGAACAGUUUUUGAUGGAUAACCAAUCUUGGAAAUAACUGCUUCCUGCAUCCCUAGGAAACGCUCUGGUCUUCCUCCAAAACUAAUAAUCCUGCUUGCCAUUCAGGUACGGAGCUGCAUAAUGGCAGUUCAAGUUAGAUUCCAUUGGAUUUCUUUUAAUGAAUGAUCCAGCAUUUUGCCCCUGUAGCGCUUUGACUGGCACACAAAAGCCAGCCGUUGAACCAGGGUGUCUCGUUUAACAGUGCAGAACACCAACCAUGGAUUCUGAUAUCUAUUCCCUUUCAGUCUGCUCUACGCUUUCUCCUGAGUUUUAGAGAAAGUGUCAGUGUUCAUGAUGUAAGCAGAGCAUGUUUCUGUCUCUGAGCCUAUGUACCAGGUUAUAAUAUAGACAGAUUCCCUAAGGCUUUACAACAUCUAAGGUUAGAGAUAAAAGGUAACUUACUGCUAUAACUUACUGUUUAGUGUGUCCUGUGUAAAUCCUGUCUGCUUCUCUCCACUUCCCCUCCAAAUGAGUGUGUUUGCAGGUCAAACAAGAGGCGGCUAGUUUGUAAUGCCUUAGGCAUGAAGAACUGCAUGGAGAAACUGAAUGAAAGCGGCACAGGCCCACAAACCAAAUCUUAGAGCUAGUAUUCUAAUUAUGCAUGAUUCAAAAUGUCUAGUGUAAUGUAGUUAUUACCAGUAAAUUGAGAUAUGCAUUUAUACAUAAUGAAGCAAUAGGAAUUAAUAUACCAAUAGCUUGAACUUCCUGCUUUGAUUCUCAAACUUUGGUUUUCUUAGAGAAUGUGCUGCCUCUGUAGAGAAAGGGGCAGAAUGUAUAGAUAGGGACAGAAGCAUGGCACCAAAACUGUAAAUCAGGAACCAGGAUCAGCAGGACUCGCCUUUAUAACCUUGUCUGGUUCAUAUUAGUGCCCUGAGCAUGUAAAAAGCAGGGCAUGAACUAAGCAUGUUUAGGGGCGAGAUGAGGUUUCUCACCUGCUGCAGCUGUAGCAAGGAAAAGGGUGCAGAGUUUCUUACAAGGUGCAGGGGGGAGCAACUGGUGGAAAAAAAACAAACACACAAACACAAAACAACACAAAAAACCAAGUAACGGAAAACACAGACUCAAAUUGAGUGUAGUAUUUGCCAGACAGUAGGUAAUAAGCGUGGGUGUGGUGAAAGAAAUUAUUUGGAGAAGACUGAAAUUAAUAAGCACAGUACAUAUAUUUCAGGUGUUGAAUAGCUUUUUAAUAGACAGUAUUUUCAGGUAACUCUCUAGCCACAUAGGCAGCUGUACUGAAGCAUACUGGUACCAGCCAGCAAUAAUGGCACCUGCAGGAAUGAACCUGAAAAUACUGGUAAUCUUGUAUAUUUUUUAAGUUCUUUAAAGAGAUUUUUAAAAACAGAAAAUGACAUUUGAUCACUGAAGGUCUUUAUCUUCUGCAACACAGGUUGCAAUAGUCUUUUUUCUUUAUUUCACUUAUUAAAUAAAAGGGAAUUUGGGUGCCAUCUUUCUGUAACUUUAGUGUGUUCUCUGUAGUAUUUCCCAAGUCUUUUAGUGGAUAAUGCAGUGAAUUUCCGCUGGCAGUUUGAAAAUAACAUAGAACGUGUGGCAUAGCCUAUGUCACUAAUGCUUUUCCAAGUUUAAACUUGUAUUCAAACAUGUAGAAUACUAGCUUGUUACUGCAGAAUUCUAUACUUCUAGCUUAGCUUAAUUUUGUAGGUGGGCUUAACUUGUGCAGAACACUUCUCCAUGUACAGAGGCUCAGCCCUCUUUCUUAAAUAGAAAGAGGAGGUGUCCUGGAGGAAGAAAUUGUGUGUCAAGUUAACUCCUGUUCAUACUUCAUAGCCAACCAUCCAUAAAGCACCAUGAUUUGGGUUUAGAAUGGGGGUUGCGUUUUUCUCAUGAAUGCUUUCUAGAUAUACAAGACUUGCCAAAUGAAGAUAGGAAUAUUGUAAGAGAAGAUAACUAAUUUAUGGUAUCAGAAGUUAGACUAAAUGAAAUCCUUUGAGCCAGCUUCUUCAAGCAAAAAGGGAAUUUGUAAAACAAGUUUAGCCCAGCGGUUAACCAUGGUCACCUAAUUCUUAGUGGGUAUUCUUUAGAACACUUUGCAUGGUUUUAAACCCUGUUAAAUAGAUGUUCUUUUGUGUGAUGAGUAAGCAGCUGUAUCCUUUGUUAAUGCUUAUUCCCUUCAAUAUAAAACCUGGGGAAUAAACUACUUUAGGAUGUCAGUGAAGAUAUCUUCCUUUCGAAAAGUAUGAUAACAGCAAAGGAGAAGUAUUAGUUAUAGAUUCUUAAAAAUUACCUUAGUACUUAAAAAACAGGCUAGAAAAUACUUCUUACACUGAACUUCUGAUAGCAUGCUCACAUGGAUUAGCGGAGGAAACUAUUGGUGUCAUUAGGAACUACGUACUCCCAUUGCACAUGUUUUACAUGGUAACAGUGAAAGAAUGUCUCCCUGCAAAUUCUGAUGUUUUUCCAAAAGGCAGCUUGCUUUUAUAUCUAUGCAUCUUUGAGGAUUUCAAGAUAAGAUUUUAUUCUUUUGACACUGUAAAGAGGAACUGUUUAAAAAUGAACUUGGAAACUCUGCACCUGUAUACAAAUUUUUUUAGCAAUAAAGCAGCACAGGCUGAGAAUGCACUAAAA